UUAGGCCGACACUCCCGGAUGGCAGA
rnacentral:piRNA from 1 species